rnacentral:lncRNA from 1 species
AGUUCAUCCCCAAGGAUUACAUCUUGCCACUUCUUUUCUCUCGCACCUCUCUUAUUUCUAGCCACCAAGAGAGACGAUAGCCACGGCUGAGCUCAACAUUCCCCAUCUUUGGACCAUCUUCAGCCGCAUCCUUCUCCUCUGCCAUCGUUCUCCUCCACCUAAAUCAGCGACAAAUCUCUGAUUGAAUCAAUGAAGGGAGGCUGCUCUAAAGGAAUGAAGUAAGUCUCGGCUUGGGCUUGGGUUUUCUUUUUUUUCUUGGGCCAAUAGUUUGGACGCCAUUGGCUUCAAUGGUCUGGACGCUCCACAAAACAAAAUCCAAACAAAAGAUGGUCAUGGCAAAUGAAAUUUUUACUUUGAAAAAACCAAAAGAAUGAACUCAGCCAACAUCGUUUCAGAUUUUAAGCAUUUUUUAAAAACUUAUUUACCAAAUUCAUGUUAUACAUACAUCUUACUACCCUUGGUGGCUACUAGUAGAGUUUUAUCAACAAAGUAAAUGCUUUUGACGGCAGCUACUAAAUGUGCGGCAUAGGUUUGUAGUUUCAGUUCUUCUCAUUAUGUUAUCCUCUAAGGUCUAUCCACUAUGGCCCCCCAACUCAAAUAUAGUCACAAGCUCAUAGCUUAAAAUUAUUUAUUGAUUCGAUUGUGCACACAAAUAGGCGUGGGAAGCAAUAUCAUCACAUCAUUGUGCAUGUAUACUCAACACAAUACCAUGCAGUAAUCUAAGGCGUAAACAUCCAAACAACUCCACUUUUUCCAUAAUGAAAAACGAAUCCCUUUGAACAUGCAUUCAUGGCAGUAAUCUAAUGGGACGUAAUAUAGCAACAAAUAUUAAUGGGCAUAAUAUCCAAUCUUAGUGUACUAAAUCAAUUCGUUUAAAAACAACAGAAAAGAGAAGGAAAACACAAGAAUGGUAUAACGAUACAUGCACUACCAAAAGAGUUUUGAUCCCUGCAAAUGUUGAAAUUCAACCGAGGCACACUAGUCGGAGGAAGGAGAAAUAGUCGGUGAUACUCACUGUGACCACAUUUAGGGAUCACCACACUCCAUAUUGGCUCCCCAUCACAACUGCCGACCGGCUCUCUCCACUUUGUGAAUGUUUUGAUAUUUUAAGAGCGGUCCGGUAGUAUUGGCUCGCCCACACAUCGUAGGCAUGGACUCCUUCUUGGUGUCACAUGAACGAGGUCAACUGCUGAACCUUGUGCUACAUAAGCAUUCCACCCGAAAAGUUAUGAAUUUCAAAGCUGUAACGUAUUCAAAAACCCAAAUGUGGUCAAUGGUAAAAUGUAAUGGCCGCAUUACCUGCACCACAAGGACGUGAUGGCAAAAGGUCAUACUCUCUGGCACAUCUUAGAACCUCAUCAUGAUGCUCUUCACCCCUAAUACGAAUUCACCGUUGUGGUUUUAAUAGUUUUGGUGGGAGUUGUUGGAGAAUUGGGGUCCAAGACUCAAAGUCCACUUGACAUGCAGAAGCACUCCACUCUCUUGGGUUUUUCCUAUUGACAUUUGAAUGGAGAUAACCUAAGGCCCCCUAUAUAUUGUAGCAUUUCCCUUGCUGUUUUAUCAGUACCUACCCACCUUGAUUUCACCUCAAUUUCUCUGGUAGCUGGAUUUGCUGGCUUAUUUGAACCAGGUUCACAUUUCACGGGGAAAUUUUCAAUAUAGCUGGUUAGUUCGCACUCCACCUCUUAGCAUUGAUCUUUAAGAUCACCACCUUCAUCAUGGCAACACAGUAUUAAAUGCAGAGCAUAGAUUCAAGAUUUCAAUGAGAAAAUUAAUGAGAGAGGAGAUGAGGUAUAAUAAACAACGUGUACUGUAGAAAGAUAAGAAAAAGAAGACUGAAAAGCACUAUUCAACCCCCCAAAUUUCUAAAUUUUAGAGAAUGAAAUUAGUCCAAGUUGAGAAAAAAAACACUCUCGAGAGAGGAGGGGUAACGCUGGCAAGAACAACUAAAAAUCAGAAGGAGGAGGCAAAAUAUGAUUUUAAAAAAACCCUAUUGUGCACAAAACAUCUCAAUUAUUGAAAAAAAAAAAAACAAAAAAACCCCCCCACAACACACACACAAAAACAAAAAAAAAAGCACAGAACUGAAAGCAGAAGCAACAGACCCAGACCGCAAACCUUCAAAAUUCGUCAAACACAAGAAUAAUCAAUCGACGUAGCCAGUAAAAUAUAAAUCCAGAGUCCCAACCCUACCCUAGAUUUGGACACAAACAUCUUCAACGAAUUGACUAAACAAAAGUAAUGGCAAACAGAACAAACCACACAGGGAGUUAGCUCUUCUGCGAUUUUGCCAACCCAUCAUUUCGCUCCUCGGAUCUCACAUCGUUUGUCCCAAUCUCGAUCAAUAGCCAACAACCCUAAUUGAGCCAUAAAACACCUAAAUAAUAAGUUUUUGAUCGGACGUAACCUCACGACGUAUUUUUCAUUCCCUUUGCAAUAGAAGACAUAUCGAAUUCAAUUAGUGAAUUGAGAGUUUGCCAUCUCUUAAUUGAAUGAAGUUACUAUCAGAAUAAGAAUAAGUAGAAAGGCAAGCAUUACGCGUAGGCUUGGAAGGCUGAAUGGGGGAGAACCACGAGCAGAUUGGCCUUGCGAAUUUGAGAGAAUAUAUAGAAAAGAAAUUGAGAUUGCUAUUGCCAUAACUGGUUGGAAAUAGUUUGCCAACCUUACCUGGCAAUUCUUAAAUAAACGGUCUUUUAUAAAAAAAAAAUCUUGGCAGUCAAGAACUGGUUAACAAGAGGGGAAAUAGCUGUCAAGAAAUUGUUAGUUACUGAUGAGCUUGUCGAUGUGUUAAGGAAGAUAUUGCCAACCUGUCAAUAAUAAAGAAAAUGAUCUUUUUUUCAAAAAAAUCUGGUGGUCAGAAAUCUUUUUUUAUUUUAAAUAAAGAAUCAUUAUUGUUGAUAAACAAAAAAGAGAGACUAGUGGGUAACUGGGACAUUAGGCAUACUUUGGUUUAAAUAUUUUUAACGAUUCUUUUUUUUUUAGAUUUUUUUCCUAUUUUUAUAUUGAUUUUUUUGUUUUUUUAUAAUUUUUUAAUUUUUUUUGAUAAGAGAAAUUCAACAUAUAAUUUUUUUUAUCUAUUUGAUAAAAAGUUAACUGAGACCAAAAAUUUGUAAUAAUAAUUUAGGGCCUCAUUUACGCUAAGCAAAAAAAUAUUUUUUCUAUUUACAUUGAAUUUCUGUUUAGCUUCAUAUGAAUAUUUUUUGCAAUUUGUCGUCAAAUAGUAAAAUAUAGAUAUAUUGAGGUAAAUUAUACUUUUCACAUGAGUUAUCAAGCGAUGAAAAAAUAUAACACAUAAUUCUAUGCUAGGUACCCUUCAAAAGAGACGUUUGUACUGGAUUUACUCUACUCUUUGGCCCAUACGUCUAUAAUAUUUUUUGUAAAUUUUAAAGUUUUUUAAGAGAUUUUUGAUAAACUGAACUCCAAAUGAGUUCUAAACGAGUAUUUUUUACUUGAUAUUUAUGAUUUUUUAUUAAAUUAAUUAAAUAUCAUGUUUUGUUUAUAUUCUAAAAAUUUUACGAAGAAAAAGCAUGUGAAAUGUCCAUAAGGUAAUAUAUAUAUUUAUAAUAUAAAUCAUACUUAUUUUAAAUUUCAAAACUAUCUUCCCUUAUCUACGACUGAAUUUAUUUGAUUUACUCCAAUGGUUUUGAAUUUUUUUUUUUUUUUUCCUCCAAAAAAUAUCACUUUCUUUCUCAAUGUAUUAGAUCCACAUAGGUUCUUAUCCAUGGACAAAUCUCUAAAAAGUUUGACAUAUUUUUUUAUCCAUUUGAUCAUUUUUUGUGGGACCCACAAAAAAACUCAACAGCUCAUGCCUUUUUUUCGUUCAUUUCUCCCAACUAGCAAAAAUAUUUUUCAAAAUCAUUAUAAUUCUAAUUAUUCUCCAUUUUAAUAAUAAUAGUCCAUGUAUCUUUUAUCUGACGCUUAUAUUUUUCUAUUUUUUAAAUUAUAAAAUGCUAAGAGUACGUCUAAGAUGUAGUCUUUUUUGUGUGUGCGCGUAGUGCCUUACUAGUAUAUUUAAUAAGUUAGAACCUGUUUGCUUGACAACUUUCCUUUAUAACCACUUUAGUCAAAAUUUCACUUUACAUCCUUCAUUGAUCAAAUGUCAAUUUGGCCUUAUAUGUUUCUAUUGUUCAAUUAAGGCCCCAUUUGGGAUAUUGAUUUUUCUGAUUUUUUUAGUUAAUUUUUUAGUUCUUUUUGUCUUUAAUGAUUUUUUUUUCACCAUUUGAUAAAAAAAAUUAUAGUUUUUGAACUUAUCUUGACAAGAGAUAUCUGAAAAUAUAAAAAAAAAAAUUAAUUUGAGAAAAGGAUCACUAAAAAAAUCAAUUUAUAUAUUUUUUAUAUUUAAACAUUAUUUGUUAAUUUUUAUUUGAAUUUCAAAAUCUAUUUUACUCACAUUUAAUUAUUGAUAAAUAUAUAUAUAGUUAAAAAUAGAAAAAACAUAAAAUUAGUUUUUAAAAACAAAAAAAAAAAAAAAAAAAACCAACAUUUACAGACCAUUAAAAAAAAAUAUUAAAAAACAAGGAAAAUGUAGAUAAAAAGUUAAAAAAGAAAAAAAAGAAAAAAGGUAGAUAAAAAUAAAAAAUUAAAAAUAGAAAAACAGGAAAAAAAGAAGAUAACAAAAAUAAGUUCAAAAAGAAAAAUAAGUUCAAAAAAUAAAAAAAUGAAAAAAAUGAAUAAAAAGGAAAAGGAAAUUAAAAACAAAAAACAGAAAAAGGAGAUAAAAAUAAGAAAAAGUAAAAAGAAGAAAAGAAGAAAAUUAAAAAAUAGAUAAAAUAAAUAAAAAUAGUGGGAAAAAGAAAGCAGGCAAAAAACUGAAAAAAAUAGAAAAAAAGAAUAUAACAAUAUAUAUAUAUGAAAAAAAGGCGAAAAAACAAUUUAAUAAUUAAGCAAUUGAGCUUGCUAUUGCCAGAACAGUGUACAACUGUUACUGGUGGAAAUAGUUGCCAACUUACCUUGGCAAUCCUAAUAAAACGGUUUUUUUUAUAAAAAAAAAAAUCAUGGCGGGUCAAGCAACAAUUGGUAGCAGACUUAUUGUUAGUUAACUGAUGGUACUAGUUGUCCAUGAUUCUAAGGAAGAUAUGCCAACCCGGCAAUAAUAAAGAAAAGGAUAUUUUUAAAAAAAUAAUCUUGGUGAUGGUCAAGAAAGAUUUUUUAUUUUUCAAAUAAAAAAAACUAUUAUUGUUGAUAAACAAAAAAUAGAGAACUAGUGGGUAACUUAUUGACUGAGACAUUAGGCCUACUUUGGUUUAAAUAUUUUUAACGGUUCUUUUUUUUAGUAUUUUUUAUUUUUUAUAAUUAUUAUUUUUUUUAUGAGAGAAUCAAAAUAUAAUUUUUUUAUCUUAAUUUAAUAAAAAUUUCAUUAGACAAAAUAAAAUAUUUAACAUAAUUUAGGCCCCGUUAGACUUAGGAAAAAAAAUAAUUUUUUCUAUUUAAAAGUGAAUUAUCUAUUUAGCUUCAAAUGAGUAUUUUUGCCAAGUUUUCAUCAAAAAUUAUUAAAAUAUAAAUAUAUUGAGGUAAAUUAUACUUUAAAAUGAGAGUUAUCAACCGAUGGAAAAAUAGAACACACAAUUCUAUGUUUGUACCCUCAAAAUUCCACGUUUGUAUCGAACUUACUGGCCUGUAUCAUCUAUGCAUUUUAAAAAUUUUGAAGUUUUAAAAGAGGAAUUUUUGAUAAAUUAUGAAACUCAAUGAAUUUUUUAAAAGGCUAUUUUCACUUGAUAUUAAUGGUUGUUGUUAAAUAUCUUAAUUUAUUAGUGUAAUUAAACAUCAUGUUAUUUAUAAUUCUAAUAACUUUUAAAAAAAUAUGUAAAAUGACAAAAAAGAAAACAAAAGAAAAAAAAAAGGGGAAAAAAGGAAAAAUAGUUAAGAAAAUUAAAAACAACAAAUUGUAAAAAAAGUUUUUUAUUAAAAAAGGACAAACAAAAAAAAAAACUAUACAGAUAUAAAAAGGAAAAAAAAUAGGAAAAAAUGGAAGGAAAAAAUAAAACCAGAAAAAGUAGAUAAAAAAUAAAAAAAAUAAUAACAAAGAAAAUAACGAUUAGAGAGGAGAGAAGAGAGAGAAAUAAAAAAGUUUAGCAAAAAAAAAGAUUACAAAUAAUAUAUAUAUUAUAUUAUAUAUAUAUAUAUAAACAUAAAAAAUAUAAAAGAAGGGGGAAAAGUGAAAUAGAAAAAACUAGAGGGGAAAAAAAAAGCAGGAACAAAAAAGAAAGGCUAUUUAGAAAAGGCCAACUGUUUGCAAAAGGAGAGUUGGUCAAACCAGAGCUUUUGAAAAAGGUCAUUGAGUUCAUGCUAGAUUGGGAAUUUUGUAAUAUAAAGCCAUUAUUUAUUUUAAUUCUCAUUCUUACAUGGUUAGCACUUAGGUAAUUUCAGGAAAGACAAUAUAAAAUAUUGAUUAUUUUAAAUAUUUGAUAAAGCCUGCUUAGAAGCUUCUAUAUGGCAGAAAAUGUAAAAUCACAACUAAAAAUGUGCUUGAUUCAUGAAUUCAUUGAGUGAUGAAAAAUUGGUGUUAUAAAGUUUUUAUACAUUGUGCCGUAUAAAGGCAUGGUGUAGGGCAGUUUGACCUUUUUAAAAAAAACAAUUAUUUUAGCUACUUUAGUUUUAAUGUUUUUUUAAUCUUUAGUGAAUUUGUAUUCACCAUUUGAUAAUGUUUUAUACUUUUUAUUAUUAUUUUAGAUGAAAAAAAUCUAAAAAAUCUAAGAAAAAUCAAUUAAAAACACACACAAAAGAUUUAGCUAAUUUAUCGAGUAAAGUAGUUUUUUUCCCAUUUAGUGAACUUGUUUUUCAAAUUAGAUUGAAAAAAUAUUUACAUUUUCAGGCUUCUCAUCAAUAGCAAUAGAAAAGUAUAAAUUUUGAUCAUCAAGAAUGAAAAAAAAUUGACAAAUUUUGAUUAAAUGGUAACAAAAUAUUUACUAAAGACAAAAAAAAUAAAAUUAACUCAAUUAUUUUUUUUAAAAAAAAACUAGGUUAUAAUGGGGGGCGCUAUUAUAGUAACGAAUUCCUCCAAACGGCUAGAGCAAUCACUAAUAGUAACUUCAAACUUAAAAAAAAUAAUAGAGACAAUGCAUUUAUUUAGUGCAUUAAUAUUGUGUACUUACAUUUGGUAAAACGCACAAAAUACGGGAUCUGCUCAUGUAAAAAUUAGGAACUUACUCCAUAUAAGUAUUCACUGCACAAAAUACAAUGUUCCUAAACUAAAAUCUUACACUUUUAUGAAAGUCAUUUUUAACUAGUUUCUUACAAAUUAUUCCAAGGUUAGGGGAUCACCAAAUUAUUUCAUUAUUAUUUUACAACGCUAGUCAGAAGUAUUAUUUUAGAAGAAGAUUCAACCAUCCACAUUUUGAUUUGGAAGUUUAAUUGUGGCGAAUGUAUUCAAUUAGUGGAAUAUUUUAGCCAAAAUUAAAAUAAAUUUUAUAUUUUGACUAUUUAAAAUUCAAAAAGAAAAUAAAAUUUUGAUAUUAUUACUUAUGAGAGGAUUAUAAAAACGUGAAAAUUUUGAUUGAAAUCCAGAACAACUCCACGAUAAAGCAAUUUUCUGACUGAGUUGCUGAGCUGUCGUAACCAAGCUGUCAUAACGGAGCUUGAUGAACUUCAUGACUAAUUGCUGGCUUCAAAACGGGCUGCGAGCUGUUCAACACCGACCUUGUUGAGCUGGCCCUUUCUGUCCUCUCUAACGAUGUUCCAAGAUGGCCAUUUGGCCAAACAAACCUCCUAACACCUAUUUAUUCCCCUGGUGUAACAUACGAUUGAGCAUCUCUCUCCAGACCCCACCUCGCUCAUUGAAUAGAUAAUCCGGGUUAGGGUUCCAUUUUUCUCAAAUGGACGAGACAUGGGCGAUAGCGACGUGCCGGAGGCGAAGGCACAACCAACUUCCUUUCCGAACUACGUCCGCCCUGUGGCCCUCUCUCUACGGCGGCAAUUCCGCCAAUGCGUGGCGGAGAAUCUGAAUGCCGAUCAUCAGAGACGGCUCCUUUGACAGACGACGGUCGCUAGUAAGUAACCCUUUAAAUUAUUCAAGAGUUAUAUUCUAAAACCUAUUCGUGAAAGAUUAUUAUCAUCAUGUUCACAUUCCAUGAUAGCAUUGCUUAGUUUUUUUAUGCUUAAUUCUUGAUUUUUUUCUGACAGUAUGGCUAACUUGGAUGGUUGUUUUGAUGCUUAGUAGACUGUUUAUCGACAUGCUCAGUAGUAAAAUAUUAUCAUAUUGUCAAAUUGAUGACUGCGUUUUGUAUUUUGAACCUAAUAAUGAAAGAUUUUCAUAAAUUCGAUUGAUGAUAGUGUUCUUAGUCUUUUUUAGGCUUCUGCUUCUGUUAAUUCUGAUUUUUGUCUUACAGUUAUGGGAACAUCAGAUGAUUGCUUCGAUGCUUAGGUUGAAUCUUUUAUAGACAGAUUCUUUUUCCAGAUAGCGAGCAGUAUCAGUGGUCAUAUUGAUGAUAUCGGCCGUUUUGCUUUUUUAUGCCUCUACGCUCGUUAAUUCUUGGAUUUUUUUUCUGUUAGUUAGGGCACACUCGACUGAUUGCUUUGAAUGCUUAUUCUUGGCUACUGUUCUGUAGUGACAAUACAGUUGCUGCAUGAUUUUAGGGUUAAAAACUCUGAAGACUUGACUGUAUUUUGGUUCGGGUUCAAGAAAUUAAAUUUUUAGAAUUGCCUUUACCACCCCACCCUUGAUAAAAAACAGAACAUUUAGACAGCUUAGGCAAGUGAAUUUGGUUGAAACAGAAUCUGAUUUGUCUUUUAAAAUCCCACCCUGAUUUUAACAAAAGAAAGGCUAUUUAGCUACCAUAAGAAGUACUCCUCAAAAAUAAGACUGAACAGUAAUUUUUUUUGAAAACUAAUCAGCUUUUUUGCCUAAAGCUUUGAACAACAAGCUUUGUGUUAGUAGAGUUUAUGAGCUUUAACUGAACAUCUUGUAAAGCAAAAUAGUAAUUGAAUUGCUAUACCAUGCACUUUACAAGCUUAAGAAAAGUAAGAGUUGAAGUAUCAAAAUUAGAAGCUUAAAAGCUUAUUUACAUUAUUAGAAGCUUAUUUAACUUAAUUUUGAAUUCCCAUUAUUUUACUCCACACUCCGAUUUUCAGCUUAUUUUACCUUCAGCUUAAACGUGAAAAUAAGCUUUUUCUAGAGUAGGGUUUAGGUGAUUUCCUCACACACACACACACACACACACACACACCAUAAAAAUCAAAUAAAUAAAUAAAUUCUUAUCUUUUUUUGAAUGAACUGAACUUUUUUCCUUAUUUUUUUGUUGGAAGCAAAGGAAGCCAUUGCCCGCCAUUCAACGGGUUGUUGACAUGCUGCUAGUGUCUUUUUUUCAUCUAGUUACUCUACUUCAUUUAUUUUCUUCCAGGUCCUCUCUAUGUUGGCAUUUGCCAAACCUUUUGUUGCAUCAGUUUUUCCAGACGGAUCUAAGCAAAUUCAAGCUGGUACUCUCUUAAUGCUGUUACAAGCCAAAAAAGUCGUACACAUAUUUUAUGUUUAGGUUAUAUUUGUGCUUAAUCUUACUUUGAUGUCACCCUUGCUUAUUACUCUCUUUUCAACUGAGGAGAUAUUACAUCCUUACUUCGAACUCUCUUUCAACUAAAAGAGAUUUUUACAUCCACUAUCCUUAGAUAUGUAAGUUCUAAGAUUACUUUUUUUUUUUUCUUUUUUUGUUUUGCUGGUAUAUCUAUACUUUAGUUUCACUUUUGUUCUUUGUCAUGUUUUUCCUCCUCUCUUCCUCUUGACACACAUAAACCUACUCAUAGAUGUCUUAUCUCUCUUUCAUCUUGGAUUUAUGCUUAGCUCCAAUUAAUCUGGACCAAGUUUUCUAAUUAGUUUUAUUUUAUAAAAACAGAGGUGACUCUGAAUAUGGUCAGGAAACUUAUUGCGAGUAUGUUAUACUGGGAUGUGGUCCAAUUAAUCCAAUUUUGGCAAUUUAUAGUAAUAUUGUUUUUUUGCCCCAUCCAAAGCUGAAUUUGAACCUUAUGGGCUUUUAGGAAAUAUUAUUAUUAUUGUAAUGUGUUCAUCUUGUCGAUUAUAGGCGGUUUGUGGAUGCCCAAAGCUUAUCUGUUUAACAGGGUUUGGUGGCAUUAUUCCAGGGAUUGUUUGAUUUGUGCAAUACAUCAAUUGGGUUUCCAGCACAUUCCUGACUUUUUUGUCAGUCUGAAGGCUAACAACAGGAAGUUUUAUUUUGUCUGGAUGGAUAUUGCAUGUUGUUUGGAUUUUUAGAAAUAGCAGCGCCAUCCUCUCAAAACUUACCCUGUGUGUGGGGAUGUGAUGUUGUUUGCACUUGAUUUUGAGUUGUGAGGUUAUUGAAUUCAAUUAGCCAAUAUCAUUUUCAUUUCUAUAUCUGAUAACUUGCAUAAUUUCUUAUUUUUAUCCUUCUGAACUUUAAACUUUAGUUCUAUUUUAAUUUUAUUUUUUUGUUGAUUUUACGGCUUCAUUGUUGUCAUUAAAUUAUUUCUAUUUGAAAAAAUAAUAAAAAAAUCAAAGAUUCAAAUUUUAGAAGCCCAUCCAGCAGGAACGGGACAUACUGACGUUAAGGAGAUCAUUUUCCCCUUUUAUUUAACGGAUCUGGAUGCAAGCUGGCAGUUUGAGUGCAUGCGAGAUUCACACGGCUCUUGUUUAAUUUUGAAUGAAGAGGAAAAGCUAGCUGCGUGGAUUUUUGGGCUCUUGAACAGAUAUACACAGAAGUCGUAAAUGAGCUGGAACUCUUGAAUGAACAACACGCACGAAACAGAAGAAGGGGAGGAAUUCUGGAGUAUUUUUAUUUUUGGUUGUUGGCACGCAAAUGAGAUUUUUUUUCUAGACAAAUAGACACUAAGAUAAGAAUACCUGUGGAUAGAGAGGACAAAUUUUCCAGAGUUCAUUCCCUCCAUUUUUCUUGAAAUUAUGGUGCAUUCGUUUAUGUUGAAUUUAAUUGUUUAGCAUAACUACUUUUUUUUUUAUUCUAGGAAAACCGAUGUAAUCUAGUUCCGACUAACUUGCUUUUCUAUGCUAAUUUGCAGUACUUUCUCUUCUAUUUUGUUUGAUUUAUUCUGAGCUUUUGCUUCUAAUUAACUGGCUCAUUAUUAAUAAUUUUUUGACCUUGUGAUUUGCUAUCGAAAGCGUGAAAUAAUGGAAUAGAUCUUGGUAUUUUCGGCAUAGGUAAUAUAUAGAUCGCAAGAUCUUGUAUGAAUCUAUGUAGUAUUAAAAUCAUUGGUCUUAAUGCUUUCUUGUUUUAUUAUUUGCAUACUCUUGCUCGUGUUGUAAAAUGAUAAAUACCAGAAUAUUUCCAAUUUUACUAUCGAAAGAUGCAUUUGGAUAUCUUGGGGAUCUGCCUAAAACAGAGAGAGAAAUUCAAUUAGUUAGAAUGAGUAAAAAAGGCAAAUAGUGAGGGAAUUAGGUAAAUCACGAUUUCCUAGAAGUUUUUCUUUCUUUCUUUCCCAUUAAUUUGAUCUUUGAACAACAUUUGUUUUUUUUCCUUUUGAGUAUUUUUUUUUUUUUUGAAUUGAUUUAUUUUAAAUUGCAAUUACAAAAUCUAGUGACUUCACUAAAUAAGUCGAGAUUAGUAUAAAUUUCGGUAUUUGUCAAAAGUUAACUCAAGCCCUAAGAGAUACUCUUUUAUCACUUACUAUAAAAACGAUUAUACUGUGAACUUUGCUGUUUUGCAUCGAUCAAGGUUUUUAGUGCGUUUCGGAUUGAUUUCUUCUUAUUUUUUGCCAAUAAUUGAUACAAGUAAUCUUGGUUUUAAUUUAAAUUUUUUAUUUACUUUUUUUCUCUGGGUGUUGUUUUUGACGCGUUGGAUGCGCCGUGCUAAACUUUGUAACCUUAUUCCUUUUGAUCCGAGAUUGAAGAACUUUAGAUCACAAGAAGAAGAAAGUCCUAUAAUGGUUAAAUGGGCAAACUCGGACUCUAGUUGAUGCUGGCUUCUGGUGGCCCUUUGAUGCAAAGACCGCUGAGGGUGCUACUUAUCUUUGGAAGAAAUGGCCCCUCAAAACAACUAUCAACGGCCAACCGAAAGAACUAUGGCUAAGAAAGUUGCUGGACAUUCCAUGAAUUGGAGCCGUUUGCUGCCUUUUAGCUCAGUUGCUUCUUUAUCCCAUCAGAUUGCAGCUUUGACAACCAGGAUACCACAAAGUGCAGAAUAUGUGCAGCUACAAGUAUGCAGUUUUCGGCCAUUGAAGCGAGUCAAGGCACAAGUUCAAUACAAUCAGCAAUCGAACACACUGUCGUGGUAAUCCUAGCCAAUUAUUACCAUCCAGGCUUCGAAAUCAUGGGAAUUGUCUUAUGGAAACACAAAGAUUGUUGCAACCUCCUCCAAGAUUUGAUAGUCAACCAAGCGAGAAGAGAUGUCACUGAGGAUGGUCUGUGGUUUCCUUUGUUGAGAACAAACGCAAGGUUAAAAAGACUGAUUCACGGUUGAUCAACAUUGAGACUCAUUGUAGCAAUAUGGGAGCCACUAUGAAGAAUCUUGAAGUGCAAAUUGGGCAACUGGCCACCACAACCAUUAAUGUCCAACAAAGAGGAACUUUUCCUAGCAAUACAGAAGUGAAUCCAAAGGAACAAUGCAAGGCCAUAACACUUAGGAGUGGAAGAGAAAUUGAGAGGUCACCAUCAAAAGAGACCAAGUCCACCCCUAUAGCUACAAACAAUGGCCAAAGCAAGAAUAAGUAGAAGAAGAAGAUAUUGUGGAUGAUACACUAAGAAAGACUGACAUGCCUCCAGCAAUUUCAUUUCCUGACAAUCCUCCUCCUCAUAUUCUCCCUACCCACUUCCUUAUUAUCCUCAACGUUUUCAAAAACAAAAAUUAGAUAACAAUUUUCUAAGUUUUUGGCUAUUUUAAAGAAAAUUCACAUAAAAUAUUCUUUGCAGAUCUUUGGAACAAAUGUCAAAUUAUGUCAAAUUUGUAAAGGACGUCAUUUCCAAGAAGAGAAGGUUGGAGGAGUUCGAAACGGUAAAGCUUUCUGAAGAAUGCAGUGCUAUCUUCAAAAAUUAAAAGAUCCAGGGAGUUUCACUUUGCCAUGCACUAUUGGGAAUUCAUUUUUUGAUAAAGUUUUAUGUGAUCUUGGUGCUAGCAUUAAUCUUAUGCCACUUUCUGUUUGCAGAAAAUUGGACUUGGAGGAUAACAAACAACCAUUUCUUUGCAACUAGCAGAUCGAUCCAUCGUAUCCACAGUGGAAUCAUAGAAGACGUAUUGGUAAAGGUGGAUAAAUUUAUUUUUCCUGCUGAUUUUUGUGGUGUUAGAUAUGGAGGAAGACAAAGAAGUUCUAUUGAUUCUUGGCCGACCAUUCUUGGCUACGGGAAGGGCUUUAAUUGAUGUUAAAAAACGGUGAGUUUAACUUGAAAGUAACAAGGAAGAGGUUUGUUCAACAUCUACCAAGCCAUGAAAUUUCCAGAAGAUCCAAGCACUUGCUUUCAGGUAGAUGUCAUUAAUCAAGUGUAGACAGAGCCCUUUCAACAAACUGUAGCCACUGUACCAUCCGAUCACCUAGAACGAUGUGUCAGCAUUUCAUAUCAUGCUUAUGAUUUUAACAACUCUGCUGUUGGUAAAUCGGAUUUACCUUUGUUAGUGAAGAAUUUCUCCACUAUGUAUUUGCCCUUGGACCUUGCAGCAAGUUAUCAUCACUAGCAAUGAAGUGGGGAGGCUAGAGCUGAUGGUACAGACGGAUUCCUGUAAUUUCUAAAGAAAAAGGAUGCAGCAAACUGCAACUCCAAGUUAAAGCAAUUACCUGAGGCAUCUUUCCGCUAUGCAUUUCUUGGUGAUAUUUUACACAUGUCCAGUGAAUUGUUGCAACAUCACUCACAACACCCGAAGAAGAGGAAAAGCUGCUGCGUCUUUAAAGGGAGCAUAUAACACAGCCUUGGGAUGGACUAUUUCUGACAUAAAAUGUUAUAAGUCCUUCCAUUUGCAUGCACACGAUUUUAAUGGAGGAACUUUACAAACCUGUCGAUCGAGUACCAAAGAAGAAUAAAAUCCAACAUGAAGGAAGUUGGAAGAGCUGAAAUUUUGAAGCUCCUCAUGCUGGAAUUAUUUAUGCUAUUUCAGAUAGUUCAAGGGUAAGUCCAGUGCAAGGUUGUAACCAAAAAAGGGUAAGUAUGACGGUGGUGAAAAACGACAACAAUGAGUUUAUUCCUACAAGAACAGUCCAGGUUUGGCGUGUAAUGUAGGAUUCCACAUUUGAAUAACAAAGCAACAAGGAAGGAUCAUUUUCCACUUCCUUCAUUGUCAAUGUUGGAUCAAUUGGCUGGGUAGCCGUACUAUUGCUUCUUAGAUGGUUAUUCGGGGUAUAACCAAAUAGCAAUUGCCCCUGAAGACCAAGAGACGACUACAUCACUGCCCUACGGAACAUGUGCUUUUAGGAGGAUGCCAUUCGGAUGUGCAAUGCCCUAGCGACAUUUCAACGUUGCAUGAUGGCGAUCUUUUCUGAUAUGAUGGAAGAUAUAAUGGAAUUUUCAGGAUGACUUGUCAGUUUUUGGUCAUCUUUUGAUAUGUUGACAUUAAUUUAGCUCUUGUUUUGCAGAGAUGUGAAGAUAAAAAUCAGUCAUAACUGGGAGAAGUGCCAUUCAUGGUUCAAGACGGGAUCGUGCUUGGCCACGAGUAUCAUCUAAAGGCAAUUGAGUGAUCGAGCUAAAAUGCAACCAUAGAAAAAAUUACCACCUCAAAGAAUGUGAAGGGAAGCUUUUUGGCUGCGGGAUUUAUAGCAGAUUUAUAAAGGAUUUUUCUAAACUCUCUAAACCUUAUGUAAAUCUUUGAAAAAAAUUCUGCAUUCUUUGAUGAUGUUUGUUUGGCAGGCAUUUAAUGAAAUCAAGGAGAACUAAUUUCAGCAACAAUUAUGACUAUACCUGAUUGGAGUCAACCGUUUGAAGUCGUGUGAUCAAGUGACUUUGCAAUUGGAGCAGUGUUAGGACAAAGGCAAGACAAAACUGUUGUAGGGCCAAUAUAUGCUAGCCGGACAUUGAAUGAAGCUCAAUAAAUUAUACACACAACUGGAGAAGGAGAUGCUUAGAUGUGGUGUUGCUUGUGACAAAUUCGAUCUUACCUCAUUGGUAAAAAAGGCGAGAGAGUGUUCAACUGAUCAUGCAACACUUCAUUAUUUGUUUGGUAAGAAGAUGCUAAGCCUAGGGCUGAUUCGGUUGGAUCCUGUUCUUCAAGAUUUUGAUUUGGAGGUUCGAGAUAAGCAAAGGACGGAAAGUUGCUGAUCACCUCUCUUGGUUGAACAAGAGGAAGUAAGACCAGAUUUCAGUGAUCCAAAAGAAGCAUUUCCUGAUGAGCAGUGGUUUGACGUGAGAUCAGCUUCUUGGGAUGCUGAUAUUGUAAACUACCUAGCUUGUAAAGUAUUGCCACCAGAUCUCACUUACCACCAACGCAAGAAGUUUCUGCAUAAUGUGAAUCUUAUCUUUGGGAUGAGCCCUCUAUUCAAAGAUGCCCUAAUCAAUCAUCCGAAUGUGUGCCAGAAGAAGAGAUUGAAGUCAUUCUCCCCCUCAUUGCCAUUCCUCAUCAUAACAGAGAGACACUUUGGAGUAACCCGAACAGCAGCGAGUACUUCAAGUGGUUUCUUUGCCUUCUAUUUUUUGUGAUAGUUUAUACUUUUGUGAACUUGUGACAGUGCGCAACGUAGGGGAGAAAUAUUUCAGGCGUCAAGAGCUACCCUUGAAAAACAUCCUGGGUUGAGUUAUUUGAAUGUUUGGGGAAUUGAUUUCAUGGUUCCUUUUACCUCCCUUCGUUUGGCAUUGUUUACUUUUGUUAGCAUUUUAUUAUGUGUCAAAUGGGUGAAGCAAUUGCUGCAACAACAAACAUGCCAGGUAUGCUCAAAUUUCUGCAUAAGAAUAUAUUCACAAGAUUUGGCACCACACGAGCUAAUUAUUAGUGACGAAGGGACCCACUUUUGCAACAAGUUGUUCGGGCAACCUUCUUUCUUUCUAAAUAUGGAGUGAAGCAUGAGAUAGCACUUGCCUACCAUCCUCAAACUAAUGGCCAAGCUAAAAUUUCAAAUCGAGAAAUCAAGAACAUCCUUGGAAAAGACGGUUCAACACACCAAUAGAAAGGUUGGCAAAGAAGCUUGAUGAUGCUUUGGGGCAAAUCGUACAAUCUUUUAAACACCUAUCGAGAUGUCUCUGUACCAUUAGUGUUUGGAACAAUCGUGUCUCUCCCUGUUGAGUUGGAGGCAAAGCUUAUGGGUUGUAAAAAUGUUUAAUUUGAUCGGAAGGCAGCAGGGAAAGCGACUUCUUCAAUUGAAUGAGAUGGAUGAGUUCCAAAAUGAUGCUUAUGAAAUGGCAAAGAUUUAACAAGAACUACGAAAGAAGUGGCAUGAUAACAUAUUCUUAGGCUGAGUUGUUACAGACAACAGUGUUUAACUCUUCAAACUCAGACUAAACUCUUCCUGGGCAAGUUACAAAAUCAAGAUGGAAGGUCCUUAUCCAAUUGACAAAGUUUACCUUUUUGGAUGCAUAGACUUGAAGACAAGCAGGGAAUAUAUUUAGAGUUAACAAGUCAGAGAUUAAAGCACUAUUAUUGAGAACAAGUGGAGAGGAACGUGCAUUUAUUCCUCCUUGGAGAUCCUAAUUGAUGAAGAUUGAAAAAGUCGGCCGUAAAUUUAAACAAACGCUUUGAGAGGCAACCCAUAGAACGUUAUUUUAUUCUUUAUUUUUAUGUUUAUUUAUUUUUAAUAAUUGGAUUUUGGAAAUUGCAGUUUAUAUUUAGGCAUGAUAAAAAGCUGAAAAUUAACCAAAUAACGGCUGAUUCACCAUGAAAACCAGGGAGUUCUUUUAUUUCUUUGAUUUCUCUUCAAUCUUUUUCACUUUUGAAUUACAAUGAGGACAUUGUUUUAGUUUUAGUUUGGGGUGGUUAAACUCUAUAGUAGUUAUUGUCUUCCUGAUUGUUGUAUUUUUUUUGAUUUUAUAAUCUUAGUUGUAGAUUCUCUUACCGACGCAUGUAUUUGAGUAUGAUCGAUUCUCUAUGACUCUGAAAUUUUGAUUGAGGAUGGAUUGAGAAAAAUUUCAAAAAUUCUUUUUAAUGCCCGGCUGAGUUUUGUGGGUCUUUGAUUUAAAAUCUUUUGUCCUUGAACAUAAUUGAGCACCAUAAUCAUUUUUUUUUCUUUCCAUUUUUGGCUUAUGAAAGAAGAGCUGAAUUAAACCUGGGUCGGGAAGUUCAACAAUCCUUGUUUUUGCUCUAUAUUCUGUGUAUGAAUCCUUAAGGCAAAAUCCUAGUUGAUGCCAAAUAUUAGAGAAAUGACUAGGCAUUUUUUCAUAACCAAAAAGCUUCCCACCAUCCUAGUAUCAGCCAUCAGGGCCUGGUGUAAUUCCAUAGUCACCCCCUUGAGCCUUAUUUUACAUAAGCCUUUAUUUUUCUUAUAACUAUAUCACCAUUCCAUUCUAGCCUGAAAACCCAUGAUUUACCUUCUACGAAAAUACUUGAUGGAAUUCUACAUUUAAAGAAAAAGUUAGUUCAAAGGAAAGUAUGCCUCUAUACAACCAAGUGUGUGAAAAAAAGGUUAAAGCGGUUGAAGAUUUGAGAAAGGCUACAGAACUGAGGGGAGGCGGCUGAACGAAAAAGGUGGGAGUCUGAAAAAAAAAAAAGUAUUUUUGCUGGGUCUAUUUUCCCAGAGGUGACGUUAUUCAUCAUGGCAGGAACCUAACAUAGAGAAAACUCAAUAAGUGGAGUGCAAAUCAUUUCAGAGCUGCUAAGGUGUGUGAUAUUGCUUCAUUGAUUACAGAAACAAUAAUAUCACAAUAUGAGGACAUAUAGUUCAAGAAGAGUUAUGGUUUGAAUCCUGUGGAAUUUUAUUUCAUUGUUCUUUCCACCAAGUAUUUUCCCUAGUUUGCUUUGAUUUUCCAUAUCCAUUUUUUUUCUUAGCCUCACCAUUGGCUAGCUUACAACCUGAUUAUAGACCUUUUGAUCUCUGAUUUGGUGUUUGACUACAUAGUGGAGAGGAUUUCUAAAAAAUUGGACUUAUGGGUUAAUUUUGAGAGAAUUCUUUGAUUUUAGUUGUUCUACUUUUAUCUGAGUUUUACAGGUGGUUUGGAGUUAACUUGACUAUUCACAUAAACACGACACUCAAGGUCUUGCUUUAGGUUGCAAGUAACUCUUAACUCUACUUGACAAAAUUGCUAAACUGUGGAUUGAUUUUCCUGAACUAUCUUUGAUGUAAAGAGUUUUAAUUUGAAUGAAGAGGAAAAGCUGGCAUGCGUGGGAUUUUUGGGCUCUUGAACGGAUAUACAAAGGAAGUCGUAAGAGAGCGGACUCUUGAUGAACAACAUGCACGAAACGGAGGAAGGGGCAGGAAUUCUGGGUAUUUUAUAUUUGGUUGUUGGCAGCGAAGGAGAUUUUUUUUCCAGCAGCGCAUCAAGAGAGAAUACUGUGGACAGAGAGGAGCAAAUUUUCUCCAGAAGUCAUCCUUCCAUUUUUCUCAGAAACCAACCCACUUAUGGUCGAAUUCGUUACGUUGCAUUAAUUUUUAGCAUGAACUAAAUUUUUUUUAUUAUAGGAAAACGAUGUAAUCUAGUUCCGAACUAUACUUGAAUUUCUUGCUAAUUUGAAGUACUCUCUUCUUUUAGGGGUUUUUGUUUAAUUUAUUAUGAGCUUAUGCUUUAAUAACUGACCAUUAAUUAGAUGAUUUUGAUCUUGUGAUUUGCUAUCGAAAGAGGGAAGUAUAGGAUAGAUCUGGAUAUUUCGGCCAUAGGUAAAAUAGAGAUCGAAAGACUUGUAUGAAAGAUGUAGUUUAAAAGAUUGGUCUUAAUGCUUUCUUGUUUUAUAAUUUUGCAUACUCUUGUGUAAAUGAUUAAAACAGAAUAUUCAAUUUACUAUCAAAAAGAGGCAAUUGGAUGGAAUUCUUGGAGAUUUGCUAACAAAUAUAGAGAAGUAAAUUCAAUUAGUUAGAUGAGUAAAGCAUAGUGAGGAUUAGGUUGAAAUUGAUUUCUUAGAAGUUUUCUUUCCAUUAAUUUGAUCUUGAACAACAAUUUUUUUUCUUGAGUAUUUUUUUUUUGAAUUGAUUUAUUUUAAAUUGCAAUUACAAAAAUCGUAGUAACUUUCUUAAUGAAAGUCGAGAUUAGUAUAAUUUGAGGUAGUUGUCAAAAUAAGUUACCAAUCCCUUGAGAACAAUACUAUCCUAUCACUUACUAUAAAAUAUGACACUGUGCACUUGCAAUUUGCCACAGAUCAAUAUCCCUCUCCCUCUCUCUGAACUUUAGGGCCCGUGGCUAGAAGAAUGGGAGGGGAUAACUUUAGAGGAGGAUAAAAGUUUAGAGGGGGAUAACUUUGGAGGGGGGGAAGGAUAACUUUUAACUUUGUGGAUACUUUUAGAAUGGGUGGAUAAGGGUGGAGGAUAAGGAAGAAAAUAUAUAGAGAGAAACAAAAUAUAAAAUAUUAGAUAUUAAAAAUAUUGUUUUAUUUCUCUCUCUAUAUAUAUAAAAAAAUAUAAUUUUGUUUCUCUUUAUAAUUUUGUCUAUCCCCACCCCUUAUCCCCGGAAACUUUUAGUCAGGAGUCUAGGCCACCCAAAAAAAUUAUUACCUCUAUCACCUCGGGGGCAUAAAUUAUCCGCCUCCAAUCCGGCAAGCCAAAUGUCCGGGGGAGGAAAUUUCUCCCGGCCCAUCCAAUAAUCCCCGGUAUCCAAAUGACCCCUUAAGAGUUAUCCUGAACGAGUUAGAAGUGUUUUUUGAGAAUAUGAAUAUUUAAUCACCAAUGAUGAUUUUAUGUUCCACGCUCAAAACUCUCAGAUCUCUUUUACUUAUUUUUGUAUUUACCAUAUGAUGUGGCAUAAUCACAAUCACUGGUGCAAUAAAUUCCAAUAAUGAUUCUAUUAUAUCAACAGUUAUGGAUUAUGGCAACAACAACUGAUACAGAAUAUAACAUGGUAUUUUUUGUUUCACAUUCCAGUUACAACAAACGCAACAACAUUAACCCAAAAAUACUAAAAAGGCAAGGCAAUAAGUUUCUUGAGGCCAUGAAGAGCAAGGGCAAAACCUCGAGGGGCACUAUUUGUUGCGGUUGUUUUUUAAAAGGUCUCAAAUCUCUAAGAGGUCUGAAAACUCAUCUAAAGGGGACGACGGAGGGGCUGAAGCUGAAGUUACCUAGGACACGUAAAAGUAAGAGAACAAGUUGUACUCUCAACUGGUCCAACUCCUCGCACUAAGCUCCUCCUUAUUUUCAGAGCAAGCCGAAUCACUAUGCAUAGGAGGACAACCUUCAGACAACUCUGUCAUACUAGCCAAUCUAAGCCAAGCCUGGUUGAUUUACGUUUAUCACCUAUCAACUCAACCAGUUGAUAGCUACGGGGUGCAACCCUCUAAAGUAAUGGUGGGCCUUCUGUCUGCGCUCGAAGGAGUGCUUCCCCUUGGAACCUCUGAAAAGCUUUCGCUUCCCGGUAGAUGAGGACCACCCAUUACCUCAACUUGUGCCUCCGGCUUCCUCUCGUCCCUCCUUUUCCUCUCAUCCUUCUCCUCCCUGCUGUUUGAGUGGAAGGUCAUUGUGGAUCUUCUCGAUAACUUUAGGGAAAAGACAACCUGCCACGUUUCCUAACCAUCCUCGUCUUCUGAUUUGUAGAAACGUCCUUGUAUAAGCUGUCACUGUCCAGCUUUCUCGUAGAACAUAGUACAUAGAUCAUAAUUAUCACUUGAUCUAACAAAUGUAAAUAAUUAACUAGUUUGCACAACUGGAUUGCUAAAAGUUUCUUGGAGCAUUUGCACCUUAGAAUCGCAACUCCACUCUUAGCAUUUGAAUCUUUAAGUCACCACCUUCAUCAUGAACGCACGGUAUAUAAUGCAGAGCCUAGAAUUCAAAAUCAUGAGAAAUAUAUGAGAGAGGAGAUGAAAGGUAUAAUAAACACAUGUAAUGUAUGAAGAUAAAGAAAAGAAGAUUCAUGAAAAGAAAUAUUCAAACAAACCCCCCACCCCCCCCAAAAAAAAAAAAUCUAAUUUUUAGAGAAUAAAAUUUAACUUGUCCAAGUUGGGGGAAAAAAACUCUCCAGAGAUGAAGGGGAUAC